CGCAGUCCCUGAGAGGGAGAAAUUCUGAGUUGCGCCUCUUAUUCCCAUUCUCUGCCUGGAGCCGCAUCUUAACAUGGCACAAGGGUCAGAGUCCACGCUAAGCAAGACGUCUGCUGAGCUGUGGAGGCAGAGAUCAGCAUCGGAGCAUCUCAAGAGGCUGGAAUUCACAGAGGAGGACCCCAACAGGAGAGAACCGCAUAGAGGACCAGUGAUGCCAUUUGGCAUGGAAACUUGCAGCACGGCAAAGGAUGAUAGGAAACGGAAUGCACUGAGAAAACAGCGUGACUAGCUGGAAGCUACUCAGAUGCUAGGCCAGUUUGGGCCAGUGUGAUGCCUUCUGUACCAAGACAGCAGUAGAGGGUUUUAAUAUCCACCAGUAUGAGGAUUGUGGCCCUGCAAAGGAUAUCACCUGAGCAGCCUCAUGG